CAGUAGCCGCGGUAAUACGGAGGGUGCAAGCGUUAAUCGGAAUUACUGGGCGUAAAGCGUGCGUAGGCGGUUCGUUAAGUCUGUUGUGAAAGCCCCGGGCUCAACCUGGGAAUUGCAGUGGAUACUGGGUCACUAGAGUGUGGUAGAGGAUAGUGGAAUUUCCGGUGUAGCAGUGAAAUGCGUAGAGAUCGGGAGGAACAUCAGUGGCGAAGGCGGCCAUCUGGGACAACACUGACGCUGAGGCACGAAAGCGUGGGGAGCAAACAGGAUUAGAUACCCCUGUAGUCCCUGUCUCUUAUAC
rnacentral:rRNA from 1 species